ensembl:lncRNA LOC120102377 uncharacterized LOC120102377
GUAGGACGUGGACUGCUGGAAGCCCCAGGAGUGGAGUGGCCUUUCCCAAACCUGGAGUCGCCCCGCCCCCUCCUUGGCAAGCCCGUUACCCGAACCCUGGGACGGCCGCCACCUUAGGAAAUAACUCAGGGCUUGUCAUUAGAGCCACGGCUGCCUGGACAACCUUUGUCCAAGAGAAGUUAGCUUGCCACUCACCCUUGGCUUUUGCGCUAUGAGGCUGCGGAAGGCAAUACUCUUGAGUCAUCUGGGCUGUCCAAACGGUCAUGGUAAAAGACCCUCGCCUCAGUAGGUGGCUUUUUUGCCAGGAUCGUUCCAGGGAGGAAGAGUGUGGGCGGAACCUGAUGUCCACUUGCAAUGCGUAUACUGUGCCAAAUGCUUCACCGUGUUACCUUUUUUAUUUAGCCCUCACACCAAGCAAGACGAACUAUGAAGCAGCUGCUACCUUAUUUUAGACAACCCAAUUUUCUGGUGCCGAACCUCAACCUUUUCCUUUUGUCAAGAGCAGGCAAAAAUACAGAGAUUCUCAAAGUAUUCUCUUCCAAAAUGCACUUGGAUCAUCACAGUUCCUUGGGCACGCUGAAUGGAAUCCCCUUCAGUGCAUCUAACAUGACAACCAAUUGUUAGAGUGUGCAACCGCCAGAGAAGAAUCUUCAGAUAUUUCAUUUCUGGAGCUGGGAAGAUGGCUUAGUGCAUAAGAUCAUUUGCUCUGCAGGCAUAAGUUUGAAUCCCCAGCACCCUCAUAAACCCAGGCAUGGCUUCAAGUAUCAAACACCAGCACUAGGGAGGGAAGACAGGUUGAUCCCAGGCAAAAGAUGAACUUCUGAUUCAGUGAAAGACCCUGUCUCAAGGCAACAAGGCAGAGAGCAAUAGAGGAAGACACCUGAUGUCAUACUCUGGCCAUUCUUCAUGGACCAUCUUUCCAGACCCUUCUCUGUAUAGAGUGGCUUAGAAUACCCAAACAGAAGAGAGCUUGCAUUCAAGAUACCUAACUCCUUCGUAAAGAUAAUUCAUACAAUUCAAAAUAAUUACACCAUCAUUAACACCAGGUGUUGGGGUCCUCGUGAUCUGUAGUUCUUUCCUCAAGCACAAACCUUGACCCAGAUGUGGCCCAGUGACUGCAGGCACGAGACCAAGCCCAAGAGGAAUGUUCUCUGGAACAAAACAAAGCCAAGUGGACAGAGAAAUACCAAAGGAAGAACUCAGAUAAGAGGAAAGGAUAUUUAUUUGCCGGGAAGUGUGGAAGGAAGAAUUCAAAUAAGGGGUCAAAGAUACUGUUUGCUCAAGCUCUGCUUACAAUGCUGCUCUGGUAGCCAGGUAAACAAUACAUAAGCAUCAGAAAAAUAAAAACUAUUCAUUCUUGAAAUGAACCUAGAGUUUUGUGCCUGUCUAUCAUUCUCCUUUCUGGGACCCCAUGAUGCCCACAGCCUCACUGUGGUGCCCCGUUCUUUCUGCAGUACACAGAUAAUGGCCCUGGGACGCACAAGCCCGGCAUCCACAUCCAGAGAGCAG